AUUGAACGCUGGCGGCAGGCCUAACACAUGCAAGUCGAACGAGUGGCGGACGGGUGAGUAAUGUCUGGGAAACUGCCUGAUGGAGGGGGAUAACUACUGGAAACGGUAGCGAAUACCGCAUACCAUCGGAUGUCCCCCGAUGGGAUUGGCUUGGUGGUGGGGUAACGGCUAACCAAGGCGACGAUCCCUAGCUGGUCUGAGAGGAGGACCAGCCACACUGGAACUGAGACACGGUCCAGACUCCUACGGGAGGCAGCAGUGGGGAAUAUUGCACAAUGGGCGCAAGCCUGAUGCAGCCAUGCCGCGUGUAUGAAGAAGGCCCUAGGGUUGUAAAGUACUUUCAGUCGGGAGGCGUUACCGGCAGAAGAAGCACCGGCUAACUCCGUGCCAGCCGCCGCGGUAAUUC
rnacentral:rRNA from 1 species